GCAGAAGAAGCACCGGCUAACUCCGUGCCAGCAGCCGCGGUAAUACGGAGGGUGCGAGCGUUAAUCGGAAUUACUGGGCGUAAAGCGCAUGCAGGUGGUUUGUUAAGUCAGAUGUGAAAGCCCGGGGCUCAACCUCGGAAUUGCAUUUGAAACUGGCAAACUAGAGUACUGUAGAGGGGGUAGAAUUUCAGGUGUAGCGGUGAAAUGCGUAGAGAUCUGAAGGAAUACCGGUGGCGAAGGCGGCCCCCUGGACAGAUACUGACACUCAGAUGCGAAAGCGUGGGGAGCAAACAGGAUUAGAUACCCUGGUAG
rnacentral:rRNA from 1 species